UCAACUUCAUUGUAGACUUAAACAGGGUGAUGAUGAUUCCCCCGUUGCAGGGACUGACAACGAUAAGGUAUGGGGGGAUGUGAUGGGACACAAGCAGGGGAUUCUAUUUUUUAUGUUUCAUUGCCAUGCAUGUUUUUAGAGUGUUUUUAUUGUUGUGGAUUUUAAUUGUAUUUUUAGUUGCAUGUUUUUACACUUUGUGGAUUUUGAUUGUAUUUUUAAUUGCAUGUUUUUACUCCUUGUGGACUUUGCUAGCAUUUUAAGACUUGCCCCUUUUAGCUUGUUGCCCCUGACAACCAAAGUGCCCAAUCGAACAGCACCUGAAAUCAGACGCACCUGUGGAGCAUUAGGGCUGCACACAUUUAAAAAGGAGUGACCAGGAAGAUCAUCAGGCUUGACAAGGAGGACCGGGUGAACGGGCGCAGGUUGGGAAGGAAUCCCUAGGACUACCCAGCAGACCCGCAGGCUACCGGAGUGAACCCCCAGAAUCCCACAACACGCAGGGCAGAGGAAACUCUGCCUCCAAAGUAAGUGUCGUGCCUUGUGGAUUUGCGGGGGUAUUCAACUGCCUUGUGCUGUGGGCUUGCGGCUCGUGCGUCGUGCGCUGGCUGUGUGGUUCUGUGAGCAGGAGCGAUCGGGACCCGGAGACCUGCGGUGACCCCCGGGAGAGACCAAGAGGCGGAGUGAGCCAGGACAAGUACGGCCACGUAGGUCCCGCGAGUGACCGGAGACUGGCGAGGAGGGUGAACGUACCCACCUUGUGUGAGGCCGCCGUGGAAGUGAGCGGAGCCAGGACACUGACCACGCCUGUCGCGGCUGUACCCUCCCCAUAUAAUUGUUUACCAAUUGGUAUUUUUAGUGUUAUUAACUUGACAGUUUUUAAAUUGUAUUGUAAUAAAUUGUAAAUCAGCA